AACGACCUCAGAUCAACUCCAGAUCUGAGAGAGACCUAUACCAACCUCUUCUCAAGAGAUUUCAGGUCCUGGACCUAGUGUUUGGGUGCCUGCAAGAGAGGGGAGAGAAGAAAUGGCUGGCGGCUGCAAAGGGGGGAAGGGGCUAGCGACUCCCUUCCUUUCUUUCCUUAUCUGGACUGGCGGCAAGAAACCCUAGGGUUUCUUGCUCCUGGGGCAUGGAAGAUGGCUGGAGAGAGAGGGAGA
rnacentral:lncRNA from 1 species